rnacentral:misc_RNA from 1 species
GAUGAAGAACGUAGCGAAAUGCGAUAAGUAAUGUGAAUUGCAGAAUUCAGUGAAUCAUCGAAUCUUUGAACGCACAUUGCGCCCGGUAGUAAUCUGCCGGGCAUGCCUGUCCGAGCGUCAUUUCAACCCUCGAACCACUAUUCGCGUAGCUGGAUCGGUGUUGGGGCACUACGGUGGAAUACCCGUAGGCCCCGAAAUGAAGUGGCGGUCCCGCCGCGGCCCCCCCAUGCGUAGUAACAUCUCGUCUCGCAUCGGGUCCCGGCGGAGGCCUGCCGUCAAGCCUAUUUUCUAAUUACAGAUGGUUUGACCUCGGAUCAGGUAGGGUUACCCGCUGAACUUAAGCAUAUCAAUAAGCGGAGGA